rnacentral:rRNA from 1 species
GACGAACGCUGGCGGCGUGCUUAACACAUGCAAGUCGAACGAAGUGGCGAACGGGUGAGUAACGCGUAAUCAACCUGCCCUUCAGAGGGGGACAACAGUUGGAAACGACUGCUAAUACCGCAUACUGAAUGAGGGGAUUGCGUCGGAUUAGCUAGUUGGAGGGGUAACGGCCCCCCAAGGCGAUGAUCAGUAGCAGGUGUGAGAGGAUGAACGGCCAGAUUGGGACUGAGACACGGCCCAGACGCCUAAGGGAGGAAGCAGUGGGGAAUCUUCCGAAAUGGAAGAAAGUCUGACGGAGCAACGCCGCGUGAGUGAGGACGGCCUGCGGGUUGUAAAGCUCUGUUAAUCGGGACGCGGUACCGGAAUAGAAAGCCACGGCUAACUACGUGCCAGCAGCCGCGGUAAUAC